rnacentral:lncRNA from 1 species
UAAAGCGUAAUUCUUAACUGAAUCAGUUAUGAGAUUACUAAUUAGAGACAGCCACAUGGAGUUACGCAAGAAUUAUCAAAUUACCCCAAAAAAUUAGAGGGAAAUCUAUAAACACUCGUCCGCCCUAUUUGAAGAAUGGCAUGUAAUUUAAAUAUCAACCUUUCAAAUAGCUAUUUCUCCACUCGUUCUAGUUUGAGCAUUUAGGCUAGCAAAUUUAGGAAGUAAAACUCAUAGUUAAGUGAAGAUUUGUUGAUUGUAAUUGUAUUGAUCUUUGAUUGUGAUUGUUUAUCGAUUAAAUCAUUUGAUUCAAUUUUUAACUUCAAUAAAUUCGCGUUGUCUGUGGGAAAUCAAACGAAGUAAACCACAAAAUUUGCCCACUGAAAUUUAAAAGCAUCAAGUUUCUGAGAAAAUGAAUGAAAUAGAAACAGAUCAAGAGAUGCUCAAAACAUUGAUAUUCGGAAUAGAAGAAUCUAGCAGCGAUUCAGUCAAAACCGAUAUAAAUCUAAAAAAGAAGUGGGAAGAAAUAACGACAAGGUUUUUAGUAGAGAUUUCCCCUACCGAAGACCAUCUCCAAAUAAAUGAAGCACCCACUGCAAAGAUAAUCCGUGAGAUGACUGCCAAAUUGAAGGCUCUGGAGACGGAAAACGCGUAUUUACGUAGAAGGAAUGAUGAGCUAAAAAUGAACUGGCAGCGAAG